GGGUCAGUAGGUUGGUCGUGCCACCGGUACGUACUGGUCUCACUGGUUCCUCCUUCCUGAAGAACCGUAAUGCCAUUAAUGUGGUGUUGCGGGGAAACAGGACUGUUACUUUGAAAUAAUUAGAGUGUUUAAAGCAAGCUAACGCUUGAAUACAUUAGCAUGGAAUAAUGAAAUAGGACGAUCGAUCCUAUUUUGUUGGUUUCUAGGAUUGACGUA
rnacentral:rRNA from 1 species